rnacentral:rRNA from 1 species
AGAGUUUGAUCCUGGCUCAGGACGAACGCUGGCGGCGUGCUUAACACAUGCAAGUCGAACGGAAAGGCCCUUCGGGGUACUCGAGUGGCGAACGGGUGAGUAACACGUGGGUGAUCUGCCCUGCACUUUGGGAUAAGCCUGGGAAACUGGGUCUAAUACCGAAUAUGACCACGCUCUUCAUGGGGUGUGGUGGAAAGCUUUUGCGGUGUGGGAUGGGCCCGCGGCCUAUCAGCUUGUUGGUGGGGUAAUGGCCUACCAAGGCGACGACGGGUAGCCGGCCUGAGAGGGUGACCGGCCACACUGGGACUGAGAUACGGCCCAGACUCCUACGGGAGGCAGCAGUGGGGAAUAUUGCACAAUGGGCGCAAGCCUGAUGCAGCGACGCCGCGUGAGGGAUGACGGCCUUCGGGUUGUAAACCUCUUUCAUCAGGGACGAAGCGCAAGUGACGGUACCUGGAGAAGAAGCACCGGCCAACUACGUGCCAGCAGCCGCGGUAAUACGUAGGGUGCGAGCGUUGUCCGGAAUUACUGGGCGUAAAGAGCUCGUAGGUGGUUUGUCGCGUUGUUCGUGAAAACUCACAGCUUAACUGUGGGCGUGCGGGCGAUACGGGCAGACUAGAGUACUGCAGGGGAGACUGGAAUUCCUGGUGUAGCGGUGGAAUGCGCAGAUAUCAGGAGGAACACCGGUGGCGAAGGCGGGUCUCUGGGCAGUAACUGACGCUGAGGAGCGAAAGCGUGGGGAGCGAACAGGAUUAGAUACCCUGGUAGUCCAA